AACGCACAUUGCGCCCCUUGGUAUUCCGGGGGGCAUGCCUGUUCGAGCGUCAUUUAAUACCAAUCCCUUCGGGGGUCUUGGGGUAUACCGUCUGGUAGCCCUUAAAAUCAGUGGCGGUGCCUCUCGGCUCUAAGCGUAGUAAUUCUUCUCGCUACAGGGCUCGGGAGACCACCCGCCAGAACCCCCAUACUUCUUAAGGUUGACCUCGGAUCAGGUAGGGAUACCCGCUGAACUUAA
rnacentral:misc_RNA from 3 species